GAGUGGAACUAGUGAGGUGUGUUAGGGUUUGUUGGUUAGAGGUAGCGGCAUCAUGGUCAGGGGUCACACUUGUAGUACGAUAGUUGGGGUCAGAGGUGGUGUGGUGUGGUAUGGAUGUUAUGUUGUUACAUAUUAUUAGCUUGUUACCUUAGUGGGGAGAAGAAGGGUUGGUGACAUGUCGUGAGUAUUAUGGUAGUUGUCAUACACAUCCACGGAUAUUUGAUAAAAAGUUUAGUUGGCAAAACACUCAAGAUCAUCCUGUCUAAAUAUUGGAGAGGUACACGUUGGGUCACCCGUGCGGAUGUGGUUAGCAUCCUCUGUUUUCUGACCACAUGAAUCCCAGAUGAAGUGUUUAAAGGUGAGUUUAAUAAGAAAGGAAUGUAACCGAAGGGGAGAAAACAGAGGGGAGACAUUUAUUAAUAAAUAACUUAGAACGUGUUUUAAAAGAAACGAAACUGAUCUUUUUUGGUUUUAUCUUUCUCUUUCCAAUCAAGGGCAAUUUUGUCUAAACAAAAUCAAAAAGCAAGUCUAAAGUACACUACCAGCAAGAAUUAUGUCAAAGUGUAAGGGUCUAAGACUAAGAUAUGUCUGUAUGUUAAUCUCUCUUUUUUUUUUAACACUUUAUAAUAUUUUCUUAUACAUUGAAAAAGAACGUUUUUAGUGGUGCCCCGAUGUUAUGCCUCCUGAUUGGUAAAGUGUGUUUGCAUUUCGUCUUUUUCAGCUGUAGCCUAUUGUAAUCCAUCGCCUCCUUCCACCGUCUCUUUUUCUUCUUCAAAUUAUGUGGUGGUUUAUUUUCAUCCUCUAUCAACAAAAUCAUAUCUUCUCCUCCUCUACAUGAUUCUUUUCUUUCCCUACUUCAUCAACUUCACCUCUGGUCAUUUCUCCUCAAUCACCUCCAUCUGUGUACGGUAUGACCAUUACCAGCAUUGCUUUAUUCUCCUUCACCACCGUCACGACCCGUUAUAACCAGUUUUCUCCUUAACUCUUCCCACGGUCUCUUAUUCUAUUUCAUUUCUUGUACAAGAAACAAUUUUUUUUUCUCCGCCGCUGCUGUGAGAUAC
rnacentral:lncRNA from 1 species